rnacentral:rRNA from 1 species
AAAUGAAUAGACGGGGGCCCGCACAAGCGGUGGAGCAUGUGGUUUAAUUCGAUGCAACGCGAAGAACCUUACCAGGUCUUGACAUCUGUAGAACCUUUAGGAAACUAGAGGGUGCCUUCGGGAGCUACAAGACAGGUGGUGCAUGGUUGUCGUCAGCUCGUGUCGUGAGAUGUUGGGUUAAGUCCCGCAACGAGCGCAACCCUUGCUAUUAGUUGCUAACAUUAACGAUGAGCACUCUAAUGGGACUGCCCGUGACAAGCGGGAGGAAGGUGGGGAUGACGUCAAAUCAUCAUGCCCUUUAUGAUCUGGGCUACACACGUGCUACAAUGGAUGGUACAGAGAGCAGCAAAGCCGCGAGGUAGAGCGAAUCUCAUAAAGCCAUUCUCAGUUCGGAUUGCAGUCUGCAACUCGACUGCAUGAAGUCGGAAUCGCUAGUAAUCGCGAAUCAGCAUGUCGCGGUGAAUGCGUUCCCGGGCCUUGUACACACCGCCCGU